CACAGUUCUAUCUCAUGUCUACAGGUUCUAUCUCAAUGCCCUAUUCUCAAAGAAUGGAACACUCUUGAACUUUUUUUGCCAUGCUAUCUUCUAUUUAUUCUUUAAUUCUCAGUUCAGAUACCAUCUACCCUAGAUAUCUUUUUCUGGGUAAGGACUGCCACAGUACUCUGUAUUUAUUUCUAUCACAGCGCUUGUCCCACUAUUGUAAUAAUUGGUUACUUGCCUACUCUUACACUAGUGGAACUUCUUGAGGGCAAAUUUAAAAUGCUGCGCCUAAUUGAUCUCCAUGUUGCUGUCCAGACCCACAGACGAUCAAGGAAUGUUUAAAGAAGGAAGUUAGAAAAUCAGAAAGAAAGGAAGAAAAGAAAGAAGGAAGGGAGAAAGGGAGAGAGGGAGAGAGGGAGAGAGGGAAAGGAUGAAGAAAAAAAAAAAGGAAAGCAAAGAAGGAAGUACAUGCCCUUUAAGAUUACAGCUAUGUAAAGGUGCAUCAUACUAACAGAUAUUUUGUUCCGGGUAUGAGAUUAUGGGUGAUUCACUCCUAGUUAUGAAACUGUGUUUAAAGUUGUUACAUUGUUUCAAUAAUUAAAAUGUUACUGAUUUUUGUUCUACAAGUAUGUGACAGGUACUCCUGGUAUGACAGAGACUGCUCUCUGUUCUUCAAAAGGUGUUUCUUCUUCUUCUUCUUCUAGGCGCAGGCCUAGACUGGGUUUCAUAGCCUUCCUCUCUGCCAGUAGGGCCAUAGGACCAAGUUCCAGCAAAGAGACUAUGAACAGUAGUGACAUGUACCACUUCAGGAUUUGAUCCUCAAAUUCCUCUCACAGUGAUCCUCUGCUCUUUCUUCCUGUCUGGAAGGUGGCCAGAGAGAGCAUCAUGAACCUAAAGGAGGGGAGAAAUACAAUUUAAAAAAGUCCAAGUCCUUGAGUGAUUGCUUGAAAAGUCUCCCUACCAGAAACACUCGAUUGGGCUUUAUUUGGGUGAGAUUGAGUUUCUAUGGGGUGAAAUUAUUGAAGUUUGAGAAUUUAUCUAUAUGGCAGUUAAGCUAAAGUACUAUACUUGGUGAACAGUUUAACAUGGAACCACCUAGAUACUGAGAUGACCUUGAUUUAUAAUUGGCUUGUUGUAGAGCACAUGGGAAGCUGAUAUCACCAAAGCUGAUUCCUACAGCUAUGGAAGGAUAAAAUUUAUCAGUUAGUAAAAAUAAUUCUAUCACGAACAGUUUGAAUGUAAGGGAAUACUAGAUACAAUAUUGUCCAUCCCUCCAUAUUACACGUGGGAACUCGGAGGUGCAGAAAGGGAAAGCUGAGUCAUGUGUUGCUAAGUCACGCUCUGCUUUCAACUUUCCCAACCACAUGUCAGGAUGCCUUGUCUGGGACAACUCACAGUUCAUUGAUUGUCCAGAUAGCAACAUGUGUGCUCUGGCUGCCUAGACGUGACACUCCUUUUCAAGCCUCCAUGGGCACUCUUCCUGAAACUGCCUCUGUGGUUGAGGAGGAUCACCUUCUCAGAGAGAGGAGAAUAGUUCUUUGACGAAGAGCAUUCAAGGAGCUGAAAUUCCCUGCUAGAACAUUUAGAACACUUAGUCCUCA
rnacentral:lncRNA from 1 species